GUCCAACUGACGAGUCUCAAAUAGGACUAAACGCGCGUCCUGGAU
rnacentral:hammerhead_ribozyme from 1 species